GGAACUACGAGGCUUGCCUUAGCGGCGGACGGGUGAGUAACGCGUGAGCAACCAACCUCGUACAGGGGGAUAACAGCUGGAAACAGCUGCUAAUACCGCAUAAGACUACGGCAGCGCAUGCUGUUGUAGUAAAAGGUGCCGGAAGGCGCCGGUACAAGACGGGCUCGCGUCCCAUUAGCUAGUUGGUGGGGUAACGGCCUACCAAGGCGACGAUGGGUAGCCGGCCUGAGAGGGUGUACGGCCACACCGGGACUGAGACACGGCCCAGACUCCUACGGGAGGCAGCAGUGGGGGAUAUUGCGCAAUGGGGGGAACCCUGACGCAGCGACGCCGCGUGGGUGAGGAAGGCCUUCGGGUCGUAAAGCCCCGUCCCUGGGGACGAAUUAAGUGACGGUACCCGGGGAGGAAGCCCCGGCUAACUACGUGCCAGCAGCCGCGGUAAUACGUAGGGGGCGAGCGUUGUCCGGAGUUACUGGGCGUAAAGGGUGCGUAGGCGGCCCAUUAAGUCAGGUGUGAAAGGUCCUGGCUCAACCGGGGGAUUGCACUUGAAACUGGUGGGCUUGAGUGCAGGAGAGGGAAGUGGAAUUCCUGGUGUAGCGG
rnacentral:rRNA from 1 species